CCUACGGGAGGCAGCAGUGAGGAAUAUUGGUCAAUGGGCGCGAGCCUGAACCAGCCAAGUAGCGUGAAGGAUGACUGCCCUACGGGUUGUAAACUUCUUUUAUAAAGGAAUAAAGUGAGGCACGUGUGCCUUUUUGUAUGUACUUUAUGAAUAAGGAUCGGCUAACUCCGUGCCAGCAGCCGCGGUAAUACGGAGGAUCCGAGCGUUAUCCGGAUUUAUUGGGUUUAAAGGGAGCGUAGAUGGGUUGUUAAGUCAGUUGUGAAAGUUUGCGGCUCAACCGUAAAAUUGCAAUUGAUACUGGCCGUCUGGAGAACAGUUGCGGUAGGCGGAAUGCGUGGUGUAGCGGUGAAAUGCUUAGAUAUCACGAAGAACUCCGAUUGCGAAGGCAGCUUACCAAGCUGCCACUGACAUUGAUGCUCGAAAGUGUGGGUAGCAAACAGGAUUAGAUACCCUAGUAGUC
rnacentral:rRNA from 1 species